UUUCCUUUCCUAGGUAUUGGGUAAUGUUAUAAUUCUUUUUUCUACUCCUCUAUAUAUCCCAGUACUGCAGUAGAUCUUGGCAGAGUCCAGAUGCCUACCUCCUGGAAGAUUCAUUCUAGUACUGACAUAAGAGCAUUAGAUCUUCUUCCUUGACCUUGCUGGCAGAUGCCUGUAAAUUUGUGUCUCAGGAUCAUUUAGACCCCUCUGUUACUACUGUCAGGUUUUUUUUAAUUUUAUCUUUUCAUUGUCUGGGUCUUAUCAGACAUCAAUAGCAGAGUACUAUAUGAUAGGAAAAUUCCUCCACAAAGUGAAAUUUAGGUACCCCCUUGAAAGACUGAGCAAAAAUGGUUUUGCAUAGUGAAAUACGUAGAAAUUGUUGGGGUUGGAUCAGAAUUCAAAGCUGUACUCCCAGUGCCCUGAAGUCCUCAAGCCUAUGGCUUAUAAAAAUGGCUGUUUCUUCUUUACGUCACUAAGGCAGGAUUAGUUAUUCAGGAUAUGGGAAAGUACAAAUGCUCCCUUUUUGCUUCCCCUUUUUCCUUACUUAGAUAUUCCUGCCUUUGCUGGUGUAAUUGAAAACAGAACAGAGUCUGUUUCCCAGGCACACGGCACCAUUUCCCACAUGCCUGGCCACUUGAAGCUUCCAUGUUGCAGGAACUUGAAGUAGGCUCUAUGCAAAUGAAAUGACCCCACUCAAGAUGUAUAGGACUUCAUCACUCUAGUCAAAAAAAGAAGGGUGUGAGAAUCUGUUAGCAUACCAGUUUUAUGUAUAAGCAACACACAUCCCUAUUAAUGAGCUAAGUGUACUUUCUGAACCAGAACUAAAAUGUAUAGCCCUCUAAUGUCUCUAAUGUCCAGUGAACUUGCAUGUUUUACCGUGGAUGCACGGAAAGCAUAUGAGUUCUAGCACUUUAUGAUAUUCUGGACUGACUUCCCUCCCUAAUAAAAAAAUGUACCAAUAUGACCACUGUCAGUCAGAGUCUGAAACUGAUAGAGUUUUGUCUUUAGGGUUUAUGGUUUUGUUACGUUAUUAAAAGAACACACCAGAAUAAUGUAAUUAUAAAACACAAUAUUACUAAAUGCAAAAAUAUUUACAUUAUUGCUGUAGAUAGUCAUCUGGUAAGAGAGAAAAACCUUUUUGAUAUGGAUAUUUUCCUUGAGUUUGAAAAACGUGUAUUUCAAUAACUUUAAAUGUGAUCAAUUUACCACAGGAAGGAAAUUCAGCAAUUUAGAUAUUCUUCCAAGUGUAUUCACAGAAUGUGGAAAUUACAUUGGAACGCUGAAAAAAAAUCCUGAAUAUGGACUUUCAGAAGAUUUCCAAUACUUUCUUAGUGCCAAAAAUCUUGUUUGAAUAAUCUUACUUUCAUUUCAGUGCAAUUGCUUGGACUGGAAGUGGAAAGGCACAUUAAUCAAGCAAAUGUACCUUAAAACUUGAAUGAAGGUACAGUUUAUAUUUCAAGGAAAAAUCAGAUUGGGCUUCCUUAGUGAAAACUUUGUUAGUCUACUGAGGUUCAGAGUAUCAUAUGCAAUAUUAGGUACAGUAUGAAUAGCUAACAUCAGAAUAUUAACUUUAUUUCUAACGUUCCUUUAAUUUUUGUGGGUUUAUUUUCUUUAAUAGUUCUCCAGGAAAAGCAGCUCAGCAGGCUGUACUGUCUUUGAUUCAGGACUUGGAACUUGGGCUAGAACCAAAGUUUCCAACUGAAAGCAAUGCUCGUGGACACUAAUUUACAAUCUUCUCAAAAGUGCAUUUAUAAUGACAGUAAUGACACAGGAACUGAGUUAUUAUCAUUAUGCUCUCAAGCAUUGGGAGUUAAGAGUCUCAAGUAAAUUCUUUGAAAGCAAGCAAACAAGGACACAUCUGUAAUUAUAGAGUCUCAUGGAAGAGAUUCAGAAAUGCAAGUUCUGUGAAAUGCAAAGGAACAACGGCAGUGCAUGGUGCAUCAGAAGACCACAAACAAAACAAGGUCAAAGUUACAUCAUUUUAAUCAAAACAACAAGAAUUAAUUACUGAAGUCACCCUUGAAACACCUUCUGCUUUACAGUUCUCUGUCUUUAUUAGAGAUUUUCAAAACAAAUACCUAAUUCAGUCCAUUUCAGAGUUACCCAUUCCCUGCUAAUUUAGAUGUAAACACCUUUUUAUAUUCUGGCUGCAUAAAGCAGUGUGCUUUCAUAGAAGUGGCUGUACCUUAAUUGGCAUGGUAUUCAACACAUACUGAACUUGUAUCAAUAAUAUCAUGGUGGAACAGAUUGUCAUUUUGAAGUAUAUAACAGAGUAUGAAGAAAUAGAUAGUGAUGCUUAGUAGUUUACUAACAGGCUUUUUCGGGGGUGUUUUUUUUUUACUGAGUAGCAGUGUUCAGUUAACCUUCUCUCUCUCUCUCUCUCUCUCUCUCUCUCUCUCUUUCUUUUUUUACAACUUCUCCUUCCAUUACAGACUGUUAAGCCCCAGAAACUGGAUCAGCUAAGCGGCCGACUCAGUAACAGUAAAUUAAGUGCUGUAAGCUUACAUCAGACUAAUUAGUCUGAGGGAUAAAAUAGGGGGAGAAACUUUUCAGGUUGCUUUGUGAAAGGCAGUUUGCUUAAUUAAGCCAACCACUAAUUGUUAAAUAUUUUUCAGGCAUUAACAGAGCUACGCCGAAUGUAAUUAAAUUUUGAUUUUAGUGGUAUUUGCAGGGAUUAAAGUCGCAAUCUGCUGAGGCGCUAGGGUUAGUUAAUAUUCACUUCACUGCCACAGCUGUCCUCCAUUACAUUACAAAGGACAGGAAAAGAGACAGCAGAAUAGGGUGAAGUAAUGAGAAAGCUAUUCAUUCAUUUGAACCAGCUUCACACUAUACAGUCUUGUACAAAUGGAUCUGAUCUGCAUGACACACAACUAGGCAUUAAAUCCGAUUUAAUUUGAUACAAUAAAGGAAAGCCUAAGCUCUAAUGCAUUUUUUAUUUUUAUACUUAAGCACUAUGCAGUGUAUCAAAAAUAUAAUCAUAUGAUUAUCAUAUGAUUCCAGUCAAGUGGUAUUUCUAGACUUAUUAGCUCUACAGGAGUCCACAAGGAUUGUAAACCAAUUCCUGCUAAGCUGUUAUUUGUCCCAUGUGUGUGUGAAUGAACCCUUCACAUCUGUGGACUGUGACUUUGAGUCCCCAGUGGAAUAUUUACUGGCAGGAUCAAUGUUUUAAGUUUUGUGGGGUUUUUUGAGCUGCAAAAAGAUUGAGCCAGUGGAGGAGUCACAUGGCCUGGGGACAGAUGACCAAUCUCCUAAAGGCUGAGGUAUUCCCUAGCCACUCCCACAGGGAGAAUCCAUGCUAAUGAUUCUUAAAGCUUACUCUGUUUUCUCCGGGGUUACUAUCAAUGGCCUUUAGUAAUCACUAACGUUGGAUAGGGUUUUGAUACUACAUUUAUCUUGCCCAGAAAUGACUAAUUCAGUUGUUAAGUACAUUAAUGUUAAAUAUUAUAGUCCUCUCCUUCAAGUAACUUUUAUACCAUAAUAUUAUAUCAAAUGACCAGUGUCACAGCACAAUCUGCAAACAGAUCUUAGAGACCCGAAUCAAUAUUUUCAGAAAAUAGUGCUGAUUAUUGUUUGCAAGAAAAAGCCUAGGUCCUUCCUCUGUCAGUGAUUUGAUAAACCAAAGUUCCCAUGUUAGUAUGUGCAGAUAGGCCUGCAGGCCAGAGAGAGAUGAUUAUUACUCUCUCUUUUCCCUUUUUUGUUUCGUAUCCAUCACUAGGAAAGUCUGUCUUGGUGUAAUUUGUAAGGCCUGGACUCAGACUUAAGGGCUAUGUCUGCUCUAAGUUCUUUGCUGUUGAACAGCUUGCUUGACCGGUGGCUUCUUAAUUACCAAGCUUUUAACAGCACUGGAGCACACAUAGUCCUUUCCUCUUACACUUCUCUGUACAAUCAAGCUACAAAAAUGCAUUCUAUAUGUCAACAUCUCAGCCAGGCCAUCACAGGGUCUCAGCUUAUCUUGUAAGUUUAAUGGACCAGUUGUUUGAUUUGGAACAGCCACACCAUUGGAACAUCAGAACACUGUCAUUUUUUCCAGGUCAGAAGCACUUCAGACUUUACCAAGCAUUAUGAACUGGGCCCAAUAUUGUCAUCUGGAAGAGAGGAGAGGAAGCUACUGGCUUCUAUUCUGGUGAAGAAAGAUCAGCUUCCCUGCUUAAGACAUGCGUCCAAUUUUGGAGGACUAAUUUUGGGAAGAAAGGUGCAUUUGGUCACAUCUAGAAGCCUCAAGUGAGAUUGGGUAAUGCACCAUAUAAAUGCAUUCUGAGAAACAAUCCCUGCAAUAAAGAAUUUAGAAGUUGGUCUUCACCCUUAACAGGAUAGUUGACUGAUUUCUCCAGGAAAAAGUAGUACAAUGGCAAUGGCUACAAGUCAAGCAUCAGAGAAAUGCUGUCAUCUUUCAACCUCCACUGAAAAGGUCCAUUAUCACCAGCCUCUCCAUACAAGAAGUAAAAGGUAAAUCACAAUGAAGUAAUUUAUCAGUGUAGGAAGAAUCCCACUGAGAAUUGACUUAUAAAAUGAAAACUGAAGACUACUUUGACUACAGCUACUCUUCCGUAUUUAAAUUGUCCUUGCAUCAUUUAUUCUGAGCACAUUUUCAAGGCAGAUGGAAACUAACUGAUGAGUAGGUCUACGAGUAUCAAGAGGGUAGAAGGAUUGACAUUUUAAAGGUAAACAUCAAGACUUUUCAUCCGGAAGAUGCAACGGCUGCUACAGAUGCUGAUAUAACUUCUGACAGAUAGUGACGAGUGGUAUGUAAUGUCAGUUCAAGAUGAGAAGCUACAACACAGUGAAAAGCAAUUCACUGAAUGUGAGUCCUGGAGUACCAAGACUAUACCCAAGAGCCCUGAUCUUCCUAUUUGGAUGAUGACUGACUUAAAUGCCACAAAUGAUGCUAUAUGAUCAAACUGGUAAUAAGCAUUAAACAAAGGAGUUGCUUCAUAAGUUAUAGGAGCUGAUUUAAACUCCAGGUAGCUAGUAACAGCCCCCAAGAAACUAUCUACUGCCUGGAGAAAACUGGAGUGCAUUAUACUCCAGCCAACUAUCAAACAUAAACUCUUCUACAUCAGAACUACUUGGUGGGAAGGGAAUAAUGUAGGAGCUGCUUUUGUUGGCUGUAUGCCUGCUAGAAAGUUACCACACCUGGGGAAUAUCCAGUUAAGGAACUGUGGACAGCCUGUGCUCUCUUUUUUUACCAGUGGAGAAGAGAAGCAAGGUGCUAUAUUAGUAAGAAGGACACUUUAAUCUUGUAGUUUGGUUCCAUUAUGUCUAUUUCUGUACUACAAGUAUGACAACUUUCUUUGACAAGUUCAAGAAUAGGUAUCUGGUUAGUGUAACCUUGAAUAAGACAUGUAACAUCAACUGCUGCAUUGAUCUUCCACCACUAUCAGCUGAUUAACCAGCCAAAACUUUGGUUUGAAAUAAGCCCCCAAGAUUUCCAAAGGUUUGACCCAUAUCUAAAUAGAAUAGUUUACAUUCGUGGUACUUUCAUGCCAGGCAAAUCCAGGAAAUUCAGAGACACAGAAGUAAAACAAAAUCAAAACAAAGGGAACUGAAUUCUCAUGAGUUAUUUGAAAGAGAGUCUAGAUUUUGUCCAGUUUCAAAGCUCAAAUAAGUUCCUAAUUUAUAUGCAUUAUUUUCUCCAUCCCAAUAAAUACAUAAACAUA